GUGCCAGCAGCCGCGGUAAGACGAACCGUGCAAACGUUGUUCGGAAUCACUGGGCUUAAAGGGCGCGUAGGCGGGUUCCCAAGUCGGUGGUGAAAUCUUUCGGCCCAACCGGAAAAGUGCCGCCGAUACUGGGAGUCUCGAGGGAGGUAGGGGUCGAGGGAACUCUAGGUGGAGCGGUGAAAUGCGUAGAUAUCUGGAGGAACGCCGGUGGCGAAAGCGCUCGACUGGACCUCUUCUGACGCUGAGGCGCGAAAGCCAGGGGAGCAAACGGGAUUAGAUACCCCUGUAGUCC
rnacentral:rRNA from 1 species